rnacentral:rRNA from 1 species
CAAGACGACGACGGGUAGCCGGCCUGAGAGGGCGACCGGCCACACUGGGACUGAGACACGGCCCAGACUCCUACGGGAGGGCAGCAGUGGGGAAUAUUGCACAAUGGGGGAAACCCUGAUGCAGCGACGCAGCGUGCGGGAUGACGGCCUUCGGGUUGUAAACCGCUUUCAGCAGGGAAGAAGCCUUUAUCGGUGACGGUACCUGCAGAAGAAGUACCGGCUAACUACGUGCCAGCAGCCGCGGUAAUACGUAGGGUACAAGCGUUGUCCGGAAUUAUUGGGCGUAAAGAGCUCGUAGGUGGUUGGUCACGUCUGCUGUGGAAACGCAACGCUUAACGUUGCGCGUGCAGUGGGUACGGGCUGACUAGAGUGCAGUAGGGGAGUCUGGAAUUCCUGGUGUAGCGGUGAAAUGCGCAGAUAUCAGGAGGAACACCGGUGGCGAAGGCGGGACUCUGGGCUGUAACUGACACUGAGGAGCGAAAGCAUGGGGAGCGAACAGGAUUAGAUACCCUGGUAGUCCAUGCCGUAAACGUUGGGCACUAGGUGUGGGGGACAUUCCACGUUCUCCGCGCCGUAGCUAACGCAUUAAGUGCCCCGCCUGGGGAGUACGGUCGCAAGGCUAAAACUCAAAGGAAUUGACGGGGGCCCGCACAAGCGGCGGAGCAUGCGGAUUAAUUCGAUGCAACGCGAAGAACCUUACCAAGGCUUGACAUACACCAGACCGUUCUGGAAACAGUUCCUCCCCUUUGGGGUUGGUGUACAGGUGGUGCAUGGUUGUCGUCAGCUCGUGUCGUGAGAUGUUGGGUUAAGUCCCGCAACGAGCGCAACCCUCGUUCUAUGUUGCCAGCACGUGAUGGUGGGAACUCAUAGGAGACUGCCGGGGUCAACUCGGAGGAAGGUGGGGAUGACGUCAAAUCAUCAUGCCCUUUAUGUCUUGGGCUUCACGCAUGCUACAAUGGCUGGUACAGAGAGAUGCGAGACCGCGAGGUUUUAGCGAAUCCCUUAAAGCCAGUCUCAGUUCGGAUCGUAGUCUGCAAUUCGACUACGUGAAGUCGGAGUCGCUAGAAUCGCAG